rnacentral:hammerhead_ribozyme from 1 species
AUCCCGCUGACGAGUCCCAAAUAGAACGAAACGUGCUUCCUGGAU